UAGAGAGGAGGUCUCACUAUGUCGCCCAGACUGGUCUCACAUUCCUGGCGUCAAGUGAUCCUCUCACCUCAGCCUCCCAAAGUGCUGGGAUCACAAGUGUGAGCCACCACACUGGGCCCUAAUUUUAUUUUUAAUUUUUGUAGAGUUGAGAUCUUGCUAUGUUGCCCAGGCUGGUCUUGAGCUCCUGGACUCAAGCAAUCCUCCCACCUCAGCCUCCCAAAUUGCUGGGAUUACAGGUGUAAACCACUGCACUGAAAUAGCUGACAUGUAUAAUCUGAAAGACUUCACAUAAAAAUUACAUUUCAACUCAAAUAUAGUAUAUUUGAAUGUUUUUCCUCUAAAAGCCAUUUUCUAGCUUAUCUUGGAAGAUCACAAGGUAUAGCAACACAGGGCCUACCUACCCCAUAUGUAAAGGGCUGAUGCCCUCCCUCUUCCUCACUCUUUGGACAGAGCAGGAGACUCCUGACGAGACACAGUCCCCAUCAGGCCCAGUGCACUCUUUUCAUCUGUCUGGCAUUUGCAUCUACCAUCUUGAUUUAAACAGAGGAACAAGAGGAGCUAGCCUUUUCAGCCUAUUUACUAUAGAUGGCAAAUACGGGAACAGAUUUUCACUUUACUAGGCAUAAUCUCAGUGACUUGAGCAGGGGUAUGGAGUGGGGCUCAUGCCAACGUGUCAGAUUUAGACAUAUGGAGCUGACAGAGGACACUGUUAGAGACAGCAUUUUCUUGUUCUUGUUAUUCUUGGAGCAUAAGAAUUAUGUGUAGAUUUGGGGAAAACACUUUGCAGAAGACACACAGUUAAGUGACAACUACUCUAACUCAAAGAAAUUGCUCUUUUCAAUGAUGUUCUUGUUGCUGAAACCAGUUUACAUUUUAAACAUCGUAAUAGAUUUUUUUCCCCAUGUGGUAAAAUGACAGAAGUUACUAUUUAUUAACAUUUCCAAUAUGCCAAGGCUGUAAACAAAGUAUUUCAUGUUUAUUAUUACAAUCAACACUCACAAGAUUAAUAGUGUUACUUCUGUUUGAUGAGACAACUCAGGCUCAAAUGGCCAAGUGGAUUCCCAAGGUCUCAGAAGUGGCCAGGCCAAGAUUCAAACCCGAGGUGGGAAUCUAAAACCCAUGCAAUUACCUCAACAUCAUGGUGCCUCACAGCUAUCCCAAAGAUUUCUCUUAUUUUUUUUGAGACAGAGUUUUGCUCUUGUCACCCAAACUGCACUCGGCUCACUGCAACCUCCACCUCCUGGGUUCAAGCGAUUCUCCUGCCUCAGCCUCCUGAGUAGCUGGGAUUAUAAGCAGCUGCCACCACAUUUGGCUAAUUUUUGUAUUUUUAGUAGAGCAGGGUUCCACCAUGUUGGCCAGGCUGGUCUCGAACUCCUGACCUCAGGUGAUCCACCCACCUUGGCCUCCCAAAGUGCUGGGAUUACAGGCGUGAGCCACCACGCCUGGCCCCAGAGAUUCUCUUAAUGCCUGUCAGACUAUGUAUCUAAUGUGCUGUGAACUGAUAAAACCUGGAUCUAAACAGCCUCUGUAAAAAAAAAAAAAAAAAAA
rnacentral:lncRNA from 10 species